rnacentral:rRNA from 1 species
CGGCGUGCCUAAUACAUGCAAGUCGAACGCAUUGUGGUUGAAAUGAUAUGAAGAACUUGUUCAGGUUUGAUUUUCAACAUUGCAAUGAGUGGCGAACGGGUGAGUAACACGUGGGAAACCUACCUCUUAGCAAGGGGAUAACAUUUAGGAAACAAAUGCUAAUACCGUAUAAUAAUUAAAACCGCAUGGGUUUUAGUUUAAAAGAUGGUCUUGCUAUCACUAAGAGAUGGUCCCGCGGUGUAUUAGUUAGUUGGUGAGGUAAUGGCUCACCAAGACAAUGAUACAUAGCCGAGUUGAGAGACUGACCGGCUACAAUGGGACUGAGACACGGCCCAUACUCCUACGGGAGGCAGCAGUAGGGAAUCUUCCACAAUGGACGAAAGUCUGAUGGAGCAACGCCGCGUGUGUGAUGAAGGGUUUCGGCUCGUAAAACACUGUUGUAAGAGAAGAAUGACAUUGAGAGUAACUGUUCAAUGUGUGACGGUAUCUUACCAGAAAGGAACGGCUAAAUACGUG